rnacentral:lncRNA from 1 species
UUUGGCCUUACACAUUAGCCCAAUCUGGGCCUACGCUGCUGUGUUUCUCAAUUCCUUCCAGGUAUUUUUAGGCCCUGAACACAUAGAAUGGGGGCUCUGGAACAUUGGAACUCAGAGAGGAUGUGUGGUUUGCCAAGACUAAGCAGGAGGGCCCAUACAUCUUCCUUGUCUACGCUGCUUACAUUGGAGAGGUGAGUAUGGUGAGCAUACUGUGGGGGGAAAAAAACCAAGGGAGGGUAGACUGGGGUCCCUAUUCCUACUUCUCACAGAGUCAAGGGUGGACCCACCUGUUGGGCUCUAGGGAAGGUCAAGGCCUGACCUGUGCUCCCCUGCAGGUGCAGAACACACUACGGAGGAUGACAGAGAAGAAGGCAGCCGAGGUGCUCAGGGCAGAGCAGGUGCACCUGGCCAAGGGUGAGGGGGCCCUGGGGCCAGAUGGACAGGGCCAAGCACAACACCUCUUCUUUCAGACACUCUCUGGCCCUUCUGACCUACAGGCUUCAUGUCCCUGGGCCAUGGCCCAGGAGAAUGCCCGAGUCUGGGAUUCUCAGAGAAGAUCUGAUGCUCUGAGAGGCUGUGGAGCUGACAGCGUUUAAGACUUCAGGGGUCUAAAAGGCACGUAUGUGCAGGGUUUUCCUACCAGCCUUUCAGGAGCUCAGUGGCCAGAAGACUUCAGCUCAUCAUCGGAAACCCAGACUGAAUUGUACAGCAGGCAGCCCCAAGUGAGAGAAAAGCAGCUCUGGACCAGACCGGCUGGUCCUUCUGUUUGUCUUAGUUCCUUCCACUUUCCAGAGGCGCCCAUCAGUGCCUGAUAAUAAACCAGGUGUUGAAGCUUUC